rnacentral:rRNA from 1 species
UCGAGCGAAGCAGUUUCAAUGAAGUUUUCGGAUGGAUUUGAGAUUGACUUAGCGGCGGACGGGUGAGUAACGCGUGGGUAACCUGCCUUACACUGGGGGAUAACAGUUAGAAAUGACUGCUAAUACCGCAUAAGCGCACAGGGCCGCAUGGUCCGGUGUGAAAAACUCCGGUGGUGUAAGAUGGACCCGCGUCUGAUUAGGUAGUUGGUGGGGUAACGGCCCACCAAGCCGACGAUCAGUAGCCGACCUGAGAGGGUGACCGGCCACAUUGGGACUGAGACACGGCCCAAACUCCUACGGGAGGCAGCAGUGGGGAAUAUUGGACAAUGGGCGAAAGCCUGAUCCAGCGACGCCGCGUGAGUGAAGAAGUAUUUCGGUAUGUAAAGCUCUAUCAGCAGGGAAGAAAAUGACGGUACCUGACUAAGAAGCCCCGGCUAACUACGUGCCAGCAGCCGCGGUAAUACGUACGGGGCAAGCGUUAUCCGGAUUUACUGGGUGUAAAGGGAGCGUAGACGGUUUAGCAAGUCUGAAGUGAAAGCCCGGGGCUCAACCCCGGUACUGCUUUGGAAACUGUUAGACUUGAGUGCAGGAGAGGUAAGUGGAAUUCCUAGUGUAGCGGUGAAAUGCGUAGAUAUUAGGAGG